UGAGUCAGAAAGGCCAUCUAAUUUCUGCUGUGCUGUUCUUUGGUUCUUGAGCUCAGUUGCCUUAACCUAUGAGAUGCUGUGUCAAGACAUGGUCUGUCAUGGAACAUGUUUUCACUGAUGAAUGCCGUAGGAUGGGGUGGGUUGAAACACAUACAUGCUUGAGUGUAUGUGGAGUCCAGAGGGAAACCUCUCUGGUGUCAUCUUCGGGGAUGCCAACUAUCUUCAUGAGUCAGGGUCUUUCAUGGGCCUAGAAUCCAGCCACUAGGCUAGCUUAGCUAGCCAUCUAGCUCUAGAAAUCCUCCUCCUGCUGCUUCCCCAGAUGCGAAGUCAAAAUCUCAUCCUCAUAUUUGUGAGGCAGGCACAUUACCAAGGUGAGCUCUCUU
rnacentral:lncRNA from 1 species